UGUGUCACUAUACCCCACUCCCUCUAACAUGUAAACUCACUGAGCAGGCCAUCAAUCCCUCUGUUACUGUGUCACUAUACCCCACUCCUUCUAACAUGUAAGCUCACUGAGCAGGCCCUCAAUCCCUCUGUUACUGUGUCACUAUACCCCACUCCCUCUAACAUGUAAACUCAGUGAGCAGGGCCUCAAUCCCUCUGUUACUGUGUCACUAUACCCCACUCCCUCUAACAUGUAAGCUCACUGAGCAGGGCCCACAAUCCCUCUG